rnacentral:rRNA from 1 species
UACAGAGGUCCCAAGCGUUGUUCGGAUUCACUGGGCGUAAAGGGUGCGUAGGCGGCCUGCUGCGUCGGUGCUGAAAGCGCCCGGCUUAACCGGGCGAGGCGUGCCGAUACGAGCGGGCUGGAGCCUUGGCGAGGGUGGCGGAACUCCUGGUGUAGUGGUGAAAUGCGUAGAGAUCAGGAAGAACACCCGUGGCGCAAGCGGCCACCUGGCCAAGAGCUGACGCUGAGGCACGAGAGCGUGGGGAGCGAACCGG